CCUACGGGUGGCAGCAGUGAGGAAUAUUGGUCAAUGGGCGGGAGCCUGAACCAGCCAAGUAGCGUGAAGGAUGACUGCCCUACGGGUUGUAAACUUCUUUUAUAUGGGGAUAAAGUCAUGCACUUGUAGCGUUUUGUAUGUACCGUAUGAAUAAGGAUCGGCUAACUCCGUGCCAGCAGCCGCGGUAAUACGGAGGAGCCGAGCGUUAUCCGGAUUUAUUGGGGUUAAAGGGAGCUGAGGCGGGCGGUUAAGUCAGUUGUUAAAGUUUGCGGGUCAACCGUAAACUUGCAGUUGAUACUGGCUGUCUUGAGUUCAGCAGAGGUAGGCGGAAUUCGUGGUGUAGCGGUGAAAGGCUUAGAUAUCACGAAGAACUCCGAUUGCGAAGGCAGCCUACCGGGGUGCGACUGACGCUGAGGCUCGAAGGUGUGGGUAUCAAACAGGAUUAGAUACCCUAGUAGUC
rnacentral:rRNA from 1 species